rnacentral:rRNA from 1 species
UCGCCUGUUUAUCAAAAACAUCGCCUCUUGCAUCUAUAAGAGGUCCAGCCUGCCCAAUGAAUCAUUAAAUGGCCGCGGUACCCUAACCGUGCGAAGGUAGCAUAAUCACUUGUUCAUUAAAUGUGGACUAGUAUGAACGGCUUCACGAGGGCCACACUGUCUCCCUACUUUAAUCAAUUAAACUAAUCUCCCCGUGAAGAAGCGGGGAUUACUAUAUAAGACGAGAAGACCCCAUGGAGCUUAAAACCCAGAACCAACUACUAACAUUUUUUCAUAAAAAUACUGUAUAUCUGGCUUCUGGUUUUUGGUUGGGGCGACCACGGAGCAAAAUAUAUCCUCCACGAUGAAUAACAAACAUUUUACUAAAGAGUUACAUCUCUAAAGAUCCUAAAUAUGACAUUUCUUGACCCAAGCCUGCUUGAUCAACGAACCUAGUUACCCUGGGGAUAACAGCGCAAUCCAUUUCAAGAGCCCCUAUCGACAAAUGGGUUUACGACCUCGAUGUUGGAUCAGGGCAUCCCAGUGGUGCAACCGCUACUAAAGGUUUGUUUGUUCAACAAUUAAAGCCCUACGUGAUCUGAGUUCAGACCGGA